rnacentral:rRNA from 1 species
GUGGGGAAUAUUGGACAAUGGGGGGAACCCUGAUCCAGCCAUGCCGCGUGUGUGAAGAAGGCCUUUUGGUUGUAAAGCACUUUAAGCGAGGAGGAGGCUACCGAGAUUAAUACUCUUGGAUAGUGGACGUUACUCGCAGAAUAAGCACCGGCUAACUCUGUGCCAGCAGCCGCGGUAAUACAGAGGGUGCAAGCGUUAAUCGGAUUUACUGGGCGUAAAGCGCGCGAAGGUGGCCAAUUAAGUCAAAUGUGAAAUCCCCGAGCUUAACUUGGGAAUUGCAUUCGAUACUGGUUGGCUAGAGUAUGGGAGAGGAUGGUAGAAUUCCAGGUGUAGCGGUGAAAUGCGUAGAGAUCUGGAGGAAUACCGAUGGCGAAGGCAGCCAUCUGGCCUAAUACUGACACUGAGGUGCGAAAGCAUGGGGAGCAAACAGGAUUAGAUACCCUAGUAGUCC